rnacentral:rRNA from 1 species
UAGGGAAUCUUCGGCAAUGGGGGGAACCCUGACCGAGCAACGCCGCGUGAGUGAAGAAGGUUUUCGGAUCGUAAAGCUCUGUUGUUAAGGAAGAACGAGUGUGAGAAUGGAAAGUUCAUGCUGUGACGGUACUUAACCAGAAAGGGACGGCUAACUACGUGCCAGCAGCCGCGGUAAUACGUAGGUCCCGAGCGUUGUCCGGAUUUAUUGGGCGUAAAGCGAGCGCAGGCGGUUAGAAAAGUCUGAAGUGAAAGGCAGUGGCUCAACCAUUGUAGGCUUUGGAAACUGUUUAACUUGAGUGCAGAAGAGGAGAGUGGAAUUCCAUGUGUAGCGGUGAAAUGCGUAGAUAUAUGGAGGAACACCAGUGGCGAAGGCGACUCUCUGGUCUGUAACUGACGCUGAGGUUCGAAAGCGUGGGUAGCAAACAGG